rnacentral:rRNA from 1 species
GACGUAGGGGGCAAGCGUUGUCCGGAAUCAUUGGGCGUAAAGCGCUCGUAGGUGGAUCGGUAAGUCUGCAAAGAAAGACCCGGGCUCAACUCGGGGAACGGUGUGGAUACUACCGAUCUUGAGGCAAUCAGAGGAUGAUGGAAUUCCCGGUGUAGCGGUGAAAUGCGUAGAUAUCUGGAGGAACACCGGUGGCGAAGGCGGCAUCCUGGACCAUUACUGACGCUGAGGAGCGAAAGCCAGGGGAGCAAACGGG